rnacentral:rRNA from 1 species
UACAGAGGUCUCAAGCGUUGUUCGGAUUCAUUGGGCGUAAAGGGUGCGUAGGCGGCGCGGUAAGUCGGGUGUGAAAUCUCGGAGCUUAACUCCGAAACUGCAUUCGAUACUGCCGUGCUUGAGGACUGGAGAGGAGACUGGAAUUUACGGUGUAGCGGUGAAAUGCGUAGAUAUCGUAAGGAAGACCAGUGGCGAAGGCGGGUCUCUGGACAGUUACUGACGCUGAGGCACGAAGGACAGGGGAGCAAACGGG